rnacentral:ncRNA from 1 species
GUUCGAGAAAUGCGGUGUGUAGUUGAUGAACGUAUAGCCGCGCGCCUGGUCAAUCGUGUGAAACAGCGGGUUCCAGUUGAAUAGGACCAGCAUCUUGUGCGGCAGGUUAUUGGCCAGAAACAUCUUGCCUGAGGCAAUCAUAUUGGCACGG